GGGGCUGAUUCUGGAUUCGACGGGAUUUGCGAAACCCAAGGUGCAUGCCGAGGGGCGGUUGGCCUCGUAAAAAGCCGCAAAAAAUAGUCGCAAACGACGAAAACUACGCUUUAGCAGCUUAAUAACCUGCUCUGAGCCCUCUCUCCCUAGCUUCCGCUCUUAAGACGGGGAUCAAAGUGAAGCGUUAAAUCUAAUCAGGCUAGUUUGUUAGUGGCGUGUCUGUCCGCAGCUGGCAAGCGAAUGUAAAGACUGACUAAGCAUGUAGUGCCGAGGAUGUAGGAAUUUCGGACGCGGGUUCAACUCCCGCCAGCUCCACCA
rnacentral:tmRNA from 1 species